rnacentral:rRNA from 1 species
AUACGUAGGUGGCAAGCGUUGUCCGGAAUUAUUGGGCGUAAAGCGCGCGCAGGUGGUUCCUUAAGUCUGAUGUGAAAGCCCCCGGCUCAACCGGGGAGGGUCAUUGGAAACUGGGGAACUUGAGUGCAGAAGAGGAUAGUGGAAUUCCAAGUGUAGCGGUGAAAUGCCUAGAGAUUUGGAGGAACACCAGUGGCGAAGGCGACUGUCUGGGCUGUAACUGACACUGAGGCGCGAAAGCGUGGGGAGCAAACAGGAUUAGAUACCCUGGUAGUCCACGCCGUAAACGAUGAGUGCUAAGUGUUGGGGGGUUUCCGCCCCUCAGUGCUGCAGCUAACGCAUUAAGCACUCCGCCUGGGGAGUACGGUCGCAAGACUGAAACUCAAAUGAAUUGACGGGG